CUCCACAGUGUCGCAACACACUUAGAGUAAGAGCACCACAGCCUCCAACUCAUUAGUAGUUGUAUGUUACAUCUCCACUUGUAAUAAAGCCUUAUGUUGAAGGCAUCGUAUCAUCAGGUAGCGAAGGUUGGAAGGAAGAAGGGAUCCUACAGGAGAAAUCUCUGUCGGGAUUUUACCCUUGUGUGGCGUCAGCUGAUGAGAACCUUGUAGCCAUAGAGUGUUCCCUUCAGAUGGAACUGUCUGGGAAGACGGAUCUUUUAAGGCUGCAGAAACAAAGAAAAGGAUCGAUGGUCUGUGUAGUGGUUGUGUUAGUCCUACUCGGUACUCACCGUAUUUUUCACUAUGUUGCUUCAGAAGUAGCUAAGUUCACUUGAUAUUUUUAUUGCAAACUUAUGGGAUAAAUUACUACCGUCUUCCAAGGCAAUUCCACCCGAAGGGAAUACUUCUCUACGGUCGCAUGGUUUUCAUCAGAUGCUACACAAGGCUAAACAAAGAACUAUCGACAGAGAUUUCUCCUAUAGGAUUCCUAGUGUACGAACUCAUCUCAUAAAUGCAUAAUACAAAAACCAAGUGGAACACAAAACUACUUCAUCUCACAACAUAAUUUACAUAUGGUUUUACCUUUUGGGAGACCCUAAAGGGAUUACACAAGAAUUAAGAAGACUAUCUUGUUCCUACCUUCAGCACCUAAUGAUACAACGCAGUUAGUAUAAAGCUUUAUUACAAGUGGAAAUGGCACAACUACUACUACUACUACUAAUGAGUGGGAGGUUGUAGUGCUCUUGCUCUACGAAUGUUGUGAUUCUCUGGAAUCUGGUGUUCUGUGUGUUUUGCAGCUCUCAGUCCCCCUCUUUUUACAGUGCGUGAGGGACACUAUGUGGUCCCUUCUUUAUUCUUCUAUUGCUAGUAUACUGCUACAUGCCUUGACAUAGUUUCAUUAGUUGACGAAUCAUGCAUGUUCCUUCGUGUGAGCUGAUGAACCAACCCAAUAUUUUAUAUACCUUGUAUUCCAUGUAGUCUGCAUAAUAAAGCAUCGAUGUUUGUAUAGUCUGGCCAUGCGUGAUUCCGAUGUGUGACUGUGUUUUUGUUUUGGUUAAGACUAUUGUCUAGACCGGGGAUUUUUUCUAGACUGAAGACAUUGUCCUAACAGAGGAUUUUUUUCCAAAGUGAAGACCUUGUCUUGACAGAGGAUUUUGUCCAAACUGAAGACAUUGUCCCCAUCGUAUUUUUAUAUUCUUGGCCUCUUGUGCCAUGAUUUUAUUUCAAGACUUCCAUACGUCGUUGCAUGCCAUGAAGUAUUAUGUAAGCCAUCCAUGCAUGGCUUAGUAUUCUAGCUUGAAUGAAGGACUUUAUCUUGAUUGAGGAGUUUAGCUUAACACCACUCCUUUGCCUUUCCUGAUACGAGUGCUACUCCUUAUUGGUCUCUACUUGCACAAAUAUUCAUCCUACAUAUAUUUUAGGUAGGAGUCUUCCCCGCCCAUAUUAUUGAUAAUACUUUAUCAACAUUCAGAUCAUAUCAAUAUUCGGGUAUAGAUUCUCUGCACCCGAAUAAUUGAUAGUUAUAUCAAUUUAUAUUCAGAAAUAUUUGAGGAUUAUGCUUAUGAUCUUCUAAUUGAUUGGUUUCCUGUGUCCGGGAAUAUCCAUGUCAUCUUCAUCAGAAAGAUUGGGGUCAUAUUUUUUAUCAUAUUCUUUCUUUAGAUUUCAAAAUUUGCAUCAUUUCCAAUCAUAAUUCUUUUAAAUCUUCUUCUUUUAGUUUUGCCUUCAUUGAUUUUUUAUCUCUUUAUAUUUUUCAUUUAUCUUCAAGUGUAUGUAUUCACUGUCCAAGAGAUAGGUUCCUUUGAGAAGGCAUUCUUUGGAUGUCGGAUAUCUAGGGGAAUCAUCUUCCUUAACCUUCUUGGAGCUUGAUGCUUCUCCCUUUAUAUAUUUAUGAAAUUAUGGAGUGGUCAUAUUGUUAGCUAUGCUUCUCCGACUUUGAAUAGAUUCUCUAGCUUUUGGGAUGAUGUAAUAAUGUUCCCCUAUUAAGCUUCUUGCACAUUUUUAAGCUUCAUUGAUUUUGUCAUAUCUUUUCCAUGACAAAUGUUCAUUGUUUCGUCUUGCAUCAAAAUUUGCUUUUAGAACAUCUUCAAUACUCAUGUAUAUUUCUGGUUUAUUCCCAUCAAAUAUUAUAUAUAGUGUCUUCUAUUUUUACACUUUCCCUUUUGUAGCUUUGGGUGUUCCUUUCUUCAACAUGUUAAAGUAUUCUGAUAGGCUAUUAAGAAUUGCCAACAUGUACCUUUUGCCUUCUCUUUUACUGUUAUAUUGAAACCAGAAAUUAUCUUGUAUGCAUUGUUGGAUUCCAUCAAUAUGGAUAUGGCUCUUUGGUUUCAUAUUGAAUGCGCUAUGUGUGAGUAUAUUUUUUUUCUUCACCAAAUAGAAUGCUCCAUUUCCACUAGGAAGCAGUCCUCUCUUCAUUUCUGUAAAAUUGACGAGCGAGAGAAUAUGUCAGGUAUGCUAUUAUCCUUCCCUUUAGUAUAUUCAAAUACUACUCCAUAAUCAUUCCCUACAAUAGUAUCUUCAAAUAAGACCCUUCUUCUAGUCAAACUUUUAUUACUAAUAAUAUGAUUAUAAUAUCUAAAUAUCGCUUCAGAGUCUGUUCGCACUAUAAAUUCCUUAUAUCCUAAGUAUAAUCUGAAAUAGUUUAUUGUGUGCACCACCAUAAGGAUUUCUGUAUCAAUACUAUUGAUUGUUUUUAUUUAUAGCCUCUUGAGGUGUAUCUACAUAUUUUCUUCUGCUUUCGAGAAAUUUUGUUUGGUUUUUGCUUCAAAAUAGCGCCCCAACCUACUUUAUAUGCAUCAAUCUCAAUUAUGAAGUAAUAAUCUUACAAUGAUAAUACUAGAGGUUUCUGAUUCUUGACCUUGUCCUUAAUGGCCCUUACUAAUCUUAGAUCUUUCGAGUUGAAAUAAUUUUGACCCUUCUUUCUUAAUUUACCGUAUAAAGAUCAAGCAAGUUUCACUAAGUUAUCCAUGUAAUUCCUUGCAUAAUUCACAAACCCAAAAAAGUGUUGCAAUAUUUUUAUCAUUCAUAUUAUUAGGGAAUUGUGAAAUUUUGAUUUUGCAGCAAUUUUUAGGGAUUACGAACUAUGCAAAAAAUUACAUAGAUAACUUAGCAAAGGUUGCUUGACCUUUAUAUGCUAAAUUAAGAAAGAAUGGUCAAAAGUAUUUCAACUCAGAAGAUAAAAAAUUAGUGAGGGCCAUUAAAGACAAUGUCAAGAAUUUGAAGCCUCUAGAACUACUGUUGGAAGAUUAUAUUACUUCAUAUUUGAAAUCUAUCAUUCUAAAGUAGGUUGGGAUGCUAUAUUAAAGCCAAAAAAGUUAACAAAUAUUCUCCAAAAGCAAAGGAAAAAUAUGCAUAUACGCCUCAAGAAGCUAUAAAUUAAAAAUAGUCAAUAAUACUGAUAGAGAAAUCUUAGUGGUAGUUCACGCAAUAAACGCUUUAAAGUUAUACUUUGGAUUUAAAGAAUUUACCGUGCAAAUAUACUGUGAAGUGAUAUGUAGAUAUUAUAAUUAGAUCAAUAGUAAUAAAAGUUCGACUAGAAGAUGGGUCUUAUUUGUAGAUACUAUAGUAAGGAAUGUUUAUAGAGUAGUAUUUGAAUAUAUGAAAGGGAAGAAUAAAAGUUUACCUGAAUAUCUCUCGCUCGUCAAUUUUACAAGAAUGAAGAGAGAACCGCUUCCUAACGGAAAUGAAGCAUUCUAUUUGGUGAAGAAAAUAAAAUCAAUAUAUCCGCAGAGUGCGCAUUCAAUCUCAAACAAAAGAGCUAUGUCCAUAUUGAUAAAAUCCAACAAUGCAUACUAGAUAAUUUAUGGUUUCAAUAUAAUAGUAAAAGUGAAGACAAUUGGUACAUGUUUGCAAUCCUUAAUAGCCUAUCAAAAUACUUUAACAUGUUGAACAACGGCACACCCAAAGCUUCAAAAGAGAAAGUGUAAAAAGAGAAGACAUUAUAUAUAAUAUUUGAUGGGAAUAAACCUGGAAUAUACAUGAGUUUGGAAGAUGUUCUAAAACAAAAUUUUGAUGCAAGACAACAGACUGAAGAUUUAAAAUAGAAAAGAUAUGAUGAUAUCAUUGAAGCUUAAAAAUGUGCAAGAAGGUUAAUGGGGGGAAAUUAUUACAGAGUCACAAAAGGUAGAGAAUAUAUUCAAACUCAGAGAGGCAUAGCUAACAAUAUGACCACUCCAUACUUCCCUAAAUACACAAAGGGAGAAGCAUCAAGCUCCCAGAAGGUCAAGAAAGAAGAUUCCCCUAAAUAUCAGACAUACAAAGAAUGCCUUGUGAAAGAAACCAAUCCCUUGGAUAGUGAAUACAAUGAUUGUUGUUCUGGUGCGUUGGUCCUAUGGGGCUUAGCACAACGACUUCCCAACUAUCUAAUACCACAAAUUUUUCCCAGCUCCGGCGAUGAUAGCAGCGUGCCUUUGUCUAGCUUUAGUGCUUGUAGUCGUUGCUAGGUACUCUCCGGAUCUAUAUGUAAUUGUUUUUAUUUCUGGUGUAUUGUACUGCCAUGAUUGAAGAUGAAUAGAUCAAAAGUUUUCCCGCAAACAAGAAAUACAUAAACAUGAAGAUAAAUGAAAAAAAAUAAGAGAUAAUGAAAUCGGUGAUGACAAAACUAAAAGAAGAAAUUUUAAAAGAAUUAUGAUUAGAAAUUAAUGAGAAUUUUGAAAUCUAAAGAAUAUGAUAAAAAAAAUAUGAUCCCAAUCUUUUCGAUGAAGAUCAUAUGGAUAUUUCCGGACAAAGAAAACCAAUCGCAUAGAAGAUCAUAAGCAUAGUCCUCAAAUAUAUUUGAAUAUGAAUUGAUGUGACUAUCAAUUAUUCGGCUACAGAAGACCUAUACCGGCAUAUUGAUAUAAUCUAAAUAUUGAUAAAGUAUUAUCAAUAAUAUGGUUGGGAAGACUCCUACCUAAAAAAUUCUACAACAUGAUUAUUUUUGCAACUAGAGGUCAACAAGGAGCAAUGCCCGUACUAGGAAAGGCAAAGGAGAUUAGUUAAGCUAAACUCCUCAAUCAAGCGAAAGUCUUUCAUUCAAGCUAGAAUACUAAGCCAUGCAUGUGAACUAAAAUGUUCAGCCAUGAAUGGAUGGCUUACAUAAUACUUCAUGGCAAGCAACGGUGCAUGCAAGUCUUGAAAUAAAUCAAGGGCACAAGAGGCCCAAAAUAUAAAACUACGAUGGGGACAACGUCUUCAGUUUGGUUAAAAUCCUCUAUCAAGACAAGGUCUUCAAUUGGAAAAAAUGUUCUAUCCGGACAAGGUCUCCAGCCUAGACAAAAUCCCUAGUCUAAACAAAAGUUUUAACCAAAACAAAAACGUAGUCACGCAUCGAAAUCUUGCAUGGCCAGACUAUGCAACCAGCGAUUCUUGAUUGUGUAGACUACAAUGAAUACAAGGUAGAUAAAAUAUUGGACUGGUUCAUCGGCUUACACAAAGAAACAUGCAUGAUGUGUCAAUCAAUGAAAUUGUCUCAAGGCAUGCCAGCAAGAGAGGAAUAAAGAAGGGAACGCACGGUGUCCGUGAACUGUAAAAGGAGGGGGACUGAGAGCUAAGAAAGACUCAGAACACUAGAUUCCAGAGAAUCACAACACUCGUAGAGCAAGAGCACCAUAGCCUCCCACUCAUCAGUAGUAGUUGUCCCUUCUCCACUUGUAAUAAAGUCUUAUACUAAAUGAAUUGUCUGGUAAAAUGUAGGAAUAACGUAGUCUUCAUAUUUCCUGUCUAAUCCCUCCGGGAUCUCCCAAAAGGGAAAGCCAUAUGUAAAUUAUUUUGUGAAAUGAAGUAGGUUUGUGUUUCAUUUUGUUUUUGUCUUAUGAAUUUAUUAGAUGAGUUCUUACGCUAGGGAUGCUAUAGGAUAAACCUCCACCAGUAGUUCUCUGUUUAGCCUUGUGUGGCAUCUAAUGAGAACCUUGUGGCCGUAGAGAAAUGUUCCCUUCAGGUGGAACUGCAUGGGAUAGGAAUUUAUCCCAUAAGUUUGCAAUAAAACAUCAAGUAAA